AAGUCGCACGAGAAAGCGGGGGCAACUCCGUGAGUACAGUGGCGUACGGGUGAGUAACACGUGACUAACCUACCCUCGAGUGGGGAAUAACCUCGGGAAACCGGGGCUAAUACCGCAUAACACCAUCGGGUGAAAUUCCUGCUGGUCAAACGGGCAACCGGCUUGGGGAGGGGGUCGCGGCUGAUUAGCUAGUUGGCAGGGUAACGGCCUACCAAGGCAACGAUCAGUAGCCGGCCUGAGAGGGCGCACGGCCACACUGGAACUGAAACACGGUCCAGACUCCUACGGGAGGCAGCAGUGGGGAAUCUUGCACAAUGGAGGAAACUCUGAUGCAGCGACGCCGCGUGAGUGAUGAAGCCCUUCGGGGUGUAAAGCUCUUUCGACGGGAACGAUAAUGACGGUACCCGGAGAAGAAGCUGCGGCUAACUACGUGCCAGCAGCCGCGGUAAUACGUAGGCAGCAAGCGUUGUUCGGAAUUACUGGGCGUAAAGCGAGUGUAGGUGGUUGGAUAAGUUUGGUGUGAAAUCUCCCGGCUCAACUGGGAGGGUGCGCCGAAGACUGUCUAGCUGGAGUAUGGGAGAGGUAGGCGGAAUUCCUGGUGUAGCGGUGAAAUGCGUAGAUAUCANGAGGAACACCUGCGGUGUAGACGGCUUACUGGACCAUGACUGACACUGAAACUCGAAAGUGUGGGGAGCAAACAGGAUUAGAUACCCUGGUAGUCCACACC
rnacentral:rRNA from 1 species